UACGGAGGGGGCUAGCGUUGUUCGGAAUUACUGGGCGUAAAGGGCGCGUAGGCGGCGCUCCAAGUCAGGCGUGAAAGUCCCGGGCUCAACCCGGGGACGGCGCUUGAGACUGGGGUGCUUGAGUCCGGGAGAGGAUGGCGGAAUUCCCAGUGUAGAGGUGAAAUUCGUAGAUAUUGGGAAGAACACCGGUGGCGAAGGCGGCCAUCUGGACCGGCACUGACGCUGAGGCGCGAAAGCGUGGGGAGCAAACAGG
rnacentral:misc_RNA from 1 species